UGCCUCAUAGUGGGGGACAACUUGGGGAAACUCAAGCUAAUACCGCAUACGCCCUACGGGGGAAAGCGGGGGACCUUCGGGCCUCGCGCUAUGAGAUGAGCCUGCGUUAGAUUAGCUAGUUGGUGGGGUAAAAGCCUACCAAGGCGACGAUCUAUAGCUGGUCUGAGAGGACGAUCAGCCACACUGGGACUGAGACACGGCCCAGACUCCUACGGGAGGCAGCAGUGGGGAAUAUUGGACAAUGGGCGCAAGCCUGAUCCAGCAAUACCGCGUGUGUGAAGAAGGCCUGAGGGUUGUAAAGCACUUUCAAUUGGGAGGAAAACCUGUCGGCCAAUACCCGGCAGCUUGACAUUACCUUUAGAAGAAGCACCGGCUAACUCCGUGCCAGCAGCCGCGGUAAUACGGAGGGUGCGAGCGUUAAUCGGAAUUACUGGGCGUAAAGCGUGCGUAGGCGGUUAUUUAAGUCAGAUGUGAAAGCCCCGGGCUUAACCUGGGAACUGCAUUUGAUACUGGGUAACUAGAGUUUAGUAGA
rnacentral:rRNA from 1 species